GACGAAGGGGGCUAGCGUUGUUCGGAAUUACUGGGCGUAAAGCGCGUGUAGGCGGUUGUCCAAGUUGGAUGUGAAAGCCUUGAGCUCAACUCAAGAAAUGCAUUCAGGACUGGAUGACUAGAGGACCGGAGAGGAUAGUGGAAUUCCCAGUGUAGUGGUGAAAUACGUAGAGAUUGGGAAGAACACCAGUGGCGAAGGCGGCUCACUGGCCCGGUACUGACGCUGAGGUGCGAAAGCGUGGGGAGCAAACAGG
rnacentral:rRNA from 1 species